UGCUUCAUAUCAUGGUGGAUGGCCUUCGGUUCGAACCGAUACAUAACUAAGGAUGGCAAGUGACGCUGGGGGAAGACCAAAUAGUUGGAACGGUUUCGACUAAGAUCCAACACUUCUAAGGAAGAAUCCAACAAAAAGGAAGCGAUCGGGUGAAUUGAAAGGGGAAAAAUUUAUGUUACCUGACUUCUGCAUUAAUCUGUGUUGUUUUUAUGCUCGUUUGAGUGUUUCAAUUUUUUUUUCUCGCUCGGAUUGUUGUGUUAGGGUUAUUAUCAUACAUCGUCUUCAGUUUUCACGUUGUCUUUCCAUUAUUAGUUGAUACUAAAGAUGUCCCUUUUCAGCCUUUUCAGUGUCUGCUAUUCUCACAUCACCUAAUUGGUAACUAGGAUCCAUUUGGACUGACAGUAUGUUAUGUUGUUCGUAUGGAUGUAAAUUUACAUGUGCCUGCUAUUUCAUAACGGUGCUUCAAUGAGAAUCACUGCCAAUUCUGGGCAAAACCCUGGUAAAGGGGAUUAUUAAUCUCAUGGCCAUUUUACGUUGCUACUAAAGAUGCCCCUUUUGUGAUUGCUGUAAUCACAUCAGAUGAUUGAUGAUGAGGAUCCUUUUUCGAUUGAAAUUUUGUUCUCUCAGUAGUAUGGAUGUAAAUUCUCACUGACAAUUCUGGGCAAACCUUGGGAAAGAGAAUUAUUAAUCUCAUGGUCAUUCUACGUUGCUACUAAAGGUGCCCCAAAUCAUAUGAUUGAUGAUGAGGAUCCUUUUUGGACUGAAAUUAUGUUCUCUUGGUCAUAUGGAUGUUAAUUUACAUGUGCUACUAUUUCCCUUUGAUUUAAUUUAUUCUCUUGUCGCAAGACCCUGAGGAUAUAUAUAUGUAUAGAAACAAAUAUCCAUGAUCCUUUGUAGCAGUUUCACAAGGGAGCUUCUUUUGAAGCAGGAGAUGAUAAUGUUGCCGUGCCAUAGGUUGUCUUGGUGAAAGAACAAUUUGGUCUGAUUGUUUCACAUUGUUUCGACAAUUUUACAUGCGAUCAUGAUGAGCAUCAAUGGAUCCAAUCCUCAGUCCUGCACUCCAGACAGCGAUGGAAUGGUUCAUCUGGCUAUAUAUAUGGCAUUUGAAGCAAAGCAAGAUAGAAAGAACAUUGAAUGGGAGUUUGCAUAUAAGGAAACUAUUUAGGAAAAAGGUAUACUUUUCCUUAUUUGCCCUUGGUUGUUCAGAUAAAGGAAACCUUGGUAUAACGGUAUAAACCACCCUUCAAGGUAACUAUUUAGGAAAAAGUUAUUACUUUUCCUUGUUUGCCCUUGGUUGCCCUUUGUUGUUCAGAUAAAGGAAACUAUUGCACUAUUUUUUAGACCCGUUGCGAAGUCUCUAUAAAAAGACGGCUCUCAGACUAAACUCUUGCGCACGAAAUCCCGCAUGGACUCGCGGCAGAAACCGUCGCAGCUUUGAAAGGAGAGAGAUGAGCAACGCAAAGAUGGUGACCAAUAGGUUUACGAUGUCGUUGGUAGUCGGUUUCUCACUGAUCGCCGCGUAGUUUGCGGUCGUCGUCAGGUUUCACAAUGCCGUUGGUUAUCGGUUUCUUGAUUGCCUUCUCAGGACUGGGUUUACUCUGCACUCGGUAAUCGGUUUCUUGAUCGCUUCUCGGGUCUGGUACUCUCUUACUCAUUCUUGUGUGGCUUUACCCUUUUUUUCCGGUUUAACAUGCCGUGCGGUUGCUUGUACGUAUAAUGUUAAGUAUCAUGCUAUUGAUUUACAUAUGAUUUUACAGUUUAUUUCAUCCAUAUUUCAUGGAAGGUUACGUGAAUCCAUCACAAACUAGAGUGAAAACUAUUUCAGUUUGGGUCCACAUAUCUCCAAUCAAUCUUGACAGAUUGUUUAAUCACUAAGGCUUUGGCAUCAGAAUGCAUGUAUUGAAAGUUGCUGUAACACUAUAGUUUUCGCCCUUGAAAUGAAUUUAUUGGUUAUAUUGUGAGCAGAGGAGCCUAUAAGAGUAAAAGGGCAAGUCCACUAAACAAUAAAAAGAUUAUCAGAAUGCAUGCAUUGAAAGCAGCAAAGCAUCGGAAGUUAAAUAUUUUGCCCUUGAAAGUUGAAACCAGUUUAUUGGUUAUAUUGUGACAAGAGAAGCCUAGAAAAUCAAAUGGGCAAAGUAUUAAACGAGCCACUAAACCAUAUAAGAGAUUGUCUGAAUGCAUGCAUUGAAAGUUAAAUAUUUUACCCUUGGAAGUUGAAACCAAUUUAUUGGUAAUAGUGACAAGAGGAGCCUAUAAAAGGGCGAAAUAUUUAACGAGUCCGCUAAACCAUGUAAGAGAUUGUCCUAAUGCAUGCAUUGAAAGCGGCAAUGCAUUGAAAGUUAAAUAUUUUGCCCUUGAAACCAAUUUAUUGGUUAUAUUGUGACAAGAGGAGCUUAUAAAAGCAAAUGGAAAAAUAUUUAACAAGUCCACUAAACCAUAUAAGAGAUUGUUCGAAUGCAUGCAUUGAAAGUGGCAAUGCAUUGGAAGUAAAAUAUUUUACCCUUGAAACCAAUAUAUUGGUUAUAUUGUGACAAGAGUAGCCUAUAAAAGCAAAAGGGUAAAAUAUCUAAUGAGUCCACUAAACCGUAUAGGAAAUUGUCCGAAUGCAUGCAUUGAAAGCAGCAAUGCAUUGGAAGUUGAAUAUUUUGCCCUUGAAACCAAUUUAUUGGUUAUAUUUUGACAAGAGGAGCCUAUAAGAGCAAAAGGGAAAAAUAUUUGUUGGAAUCGAGCUUCAUGUUACAUUGCACAAUUAUGAUCUCCCACGGAUACUCGAAGAUGAAUAUGGAGAAUGGGUUAAUUGAAAGAUUGUGUAUGGCUCUAAUAAUUUGUUGGAUUGACUUAUUUUUUGAUUCUGGGCUACAUUUCUUGAAAUGACCAGAAAACAUGUGGACUACCACUGAGUAUUAUGGAUAUGAAUGCAGGAAAGACUUCACAGCCUAUGCUGAUGUGUGCUCCAGAGAGUUUGGCGAUAGAAUUUCUUAUUGGACAACAGUUAAUGAUUCCAAUAUCUUUUCUUUAUCUGGAUAUGACUUAGGAGGUAUAGGACCUGGGAGGUGUUCUUCUAAAGUAUUGGGUAUUAACUUAUCCUAUAAAUUUAUCUUGUUGACAUGGUUGACGAGUAUAUUUUUUUUGUUUUCCCAUCACUUACUCUUUAAAUGCCAAUGCCAAUAUUGGCUCUAUAGUUUUUGGAACACAUGCAGAAUUUUAUGACGAGAGUUAUUAUCUAACGAAAUGUUUAUGGUAACGAGAGCAAUAUAUAAUUGGCGAUACAGGGCAAGCAGCAUGGAUUUAUAGGGAUAUAUGUCCUUUCUUUGAAAUAUAUCCCUGCAACAAACUCAACAGAGGAUGUGAAUGCAAUUCAAAGAGCCUAUGAGUUCUUCGUUGGUUGGUGAGUUGUUUUUGGCGGUUCUUUCAUAUAUAUCAACUAUCUACACAUGUAUGCCUACAAUUUUCUUUGUCGGGCUAUUGAUUAUAUUGUAUUAGUCGUCGACACCGGUUUUAUUUUGUUGAAAAAUUUUCAUGAUGGAGAACCUACAUGUGAUUUUCUCCAUUGUUUUUUUCACCUUGGAUUGACGUACUUGAGCCAUUGGGUCAAUAAGUGUGUGUCUUUCUCAAGGCAAAAAGAUUGAUGAGGCAUUCCUCUUGUGGCUCUAAGUUCUCGAAAAUGGUUUUAUACCAGAUGCAACUAUCUACAACAUUUUGAUACAUGGGCUUUGCUCUGUGGGCAAAGUUAGAAGAUGCUCUGUUACUCUAUUUUAACAUGAUCAGCAGAGUUGUGUCCCAAAUCUUGUGACCCACAACACCAUCAUGGAAGGGCUUCACAAAGCCAAAGAUGGUAAAAACGCAUUGGAGAUUUGGCACCGGAUUUUGGUGAAUGGUUUGCGACUUGAUAUUAUCUCCUACAAUGUCACUUUCAAGGGGCUUUGUUCUUGCAAUAAAAUGUCUGAUGUUGUAAGGUUUUUGAAUGAUGCUUUGCAUCAUGGUCGUGGAAGUCUUCCGACUUCCAUUACAUGGAACAUACUUGUCAGGGCUGCGCUUAACAAUGAGCUUGAUAAUUCUUUUGUGUCUAGUGGUGGGGAAGUAAGUUUUUCUUUGUUUAGGCUUACACUAUCAUCUUAAACAUUAUUUGAUCCAAUCCUAAAAGAAAAGUUACUGAGAAUAGAUAUCCAAUGAUGAACAAUUUUCAGCUUUUCUGAGGGAUUUCAGUAUUCUGAAAUAGCAUGCUGCACUGAAAGAAUGAGUGCGGUAAGAAGUCAGAAUUUGGGAGUUGCUAAGAUCCUCUUAGAUACCUGGAUUUGCCGUUUUCUUUAUCCAUUCAACAAGAUUACAGGAAUCACAUGCUUUUCAGGGGUGUUUUCAAAACUUCAAGCGGUCCCGGUUGUGGAGGACAAUCAAUGACGGGAACCGCAGGAACAUUGAUCUGAAUUGUGAAUAGUGUCUUUUGUGCGUGCAAUGAGACCUGGAAUCUGCACUCUGCAUUCUGUUUGAGGCGGGUCUUCUGGGGAUUCCAUUACGAUGGGGACCCAAUUGUUUGAGCUUAUGUCUGAGAAUGGACAUGUCUAUGGAGCAUGGACUGAUUUGCCAUUAUUCACUUAAUCUGGGUGCUUCGGAAUGGGUAUUCGUUUUCUUUUCGUGGUCUUUUAAUCUACAUUCAUGUUGUUUGUUUGAGGGCUUCGAAACUGGAAACUUUUCUAGGUAUAUCUGCCUUUUGUGCUUCUAUAUACUAUUAUCUUACUGUGUUUAUCGUUAUUUAGAUGAUAUGUUAUUAUUGGGUUUGAGUUCUCAUGAACAAUUAUUUGGCUCAAUUUCAAUGAUGGUGUUGAGAGUUUCUUUCUGAACUCUAGAGUUUUGCUGUCUGAUUUCCAUAUCUUGAGGCACAUUGUUUAACUGUGGGAGAGAAUAGCGAACAUGUACGUCUCUGUUUCCAUUUAUUUAUUUUAUCUCACAAUGAAUAAGGAUUCAAUCUUCUUUUUUUCCACUUCAUAUCCCAGUUAAGAACAUUUGAAUGUGAUAAUCUCAGUUCAUAAUGACAGCUCUUAGAAUAGAUGCAUAUGAGGAGAUUGUCAGUAGAUGCAUAUAGUGCAGAUGAGCCUGCAUGAACUAUGAUGCACAAUAACUUAAAAGUUAAGUGAGGAUAAGUGGGAAAAAAAAAAAGUGUCUUGGCUGCUGGGGUUUGGAAAAAUGAUGAAACGUCUUAUGGAGACUACUUGACAAGUGCACAAUUGCUCCUUGCCUGUGAAAAUUGUCCAAGUACUGGUAAUAAACAAAAAAUUUGAACUGGUUUAUUCUAGAAUUUGAAAUUCUUUGAACUGGUGUAUCUUUGUGGUUUGUUGAAGCCUUGGGGAAAUGGUGGCAGCAUUUCACUAUUACAUGGCCCAUUGCUUAGCGCCUUGGCUCAAUCUAUCGUGAAACUAGUUAGGAAGUUACAAGGAAAACUAUGGGAAUAUUUUCUCACUAUAUUUUUAUUGCGGCAGACUUUCGAUGUUUUUCCUGUACUAUGAGCUCUAAAGCCAAGAUAUUUACUUUCUUGACUCCUGUAUAAAACUCACCACAGCAUUAAGUAUUAACUACUAGCCUGACUCUGCUUCAAGUAGAUGGCUAUGCUGCUGGGAUGGGAUCAUGCCUUGAAGAGAUAAGAGGAUGGCCCCACCACAGCAGCAUAGCGAUUCUCGCUGCUUCAUGCAUACUAAUAUGCUGUUGAGUUAUUUAUUCCUUUUCUGAUAUGAUCUUUUGAUGAAUGCUCCAUUAGAUGUCAAAUAUAAAAUAUUUUAUCUUCUGAUUUGUUGGGUGAUUACAAUAUCACCCAACAAUAUCAUGCUGCUUCUGAUUUGUUGGGUAACUUGUAAUGCAUUUUGUUCUACUGUGGUGUGUGGACUCUGUAAGUUAUAGUGCAUGCUGUAAUUGGCUCAUUGCGAAUCAAUCAAAUUGUCCCUCAAUAUCUGUCAACGGCCAGGUUACUAUGUUCCUCUCAAAUGAUGUGCUUCCACUUUCUCUUUCAUUUUUGGAUGGAGUAAGUGUUGUUUCUGAUGGAGUCGAACUGGGAUUGAACUUGUCAGCGCUUUCUCUUGGCCACUUCUCUCUAUAUCUUAUACUGAUGGAGAAGGGUGACAUGUUUUGUAAAUAGUGGCAUCACACGACGAUCCAAAUAAUUGAUUUCUCCAAGUUUCUCAUGUAAUAAUUCACCGUUUGUCUUUAUUCUUGAGGAUGGGAGCACUACUGGAAAAGAUGUAUGCGCAUAGGCUUGAAUUUGUUUUGAUUAGAGCUAUCAACACAAUGUUUUCAACAGUAUUCACACCCACAUAUUGUGAGUUUAAAGAUCCAUUCCUUGUGAUUUUGGCCAUUUUAGCAUGAUACUGCAUAUAAUAUUGUCAAGCAAUAUAAUACCUAUUGUUCAGGUAGUUGGAAAUCCUUUUGUUUAUAUUUACGCAAUGCUUUUCUCUGUUGCUGUGGUUAAAUAUGGUCGAUUGAUAUGUAAAUAUUCAUGUUGAAGUUUGUGAUUUUGAUUAACUUUCUGGUUCUACGGUCAAAGACAGGAUGUUCAUACCAACGCUCGCAUGCAAAUCGUCCCGUUGAGACAGACGUUAUAGUUUUAAAGUUAAAAAGAAUAAUAGCAAUGGCAGCAUCCUUGGACAGAGAUAUUUGAAUCCUUGAAGAGCACUAGUGAUUACAUGGACAUUGUGGGCUUGUAUCUCUCUUUAGAAAACUAAGUGGUGGAGAUGUAGCAUGUGAUGGUUACCACAAAUACAAAGAAGAUACAGGGUUAGAGGUCUCCAGAUUUUAUAUUUCUUGGUCAAGGCUUAUGCCGAAUGGUCGGGGACGCAAAGGGUUUACAGUAUUACAACAACCUCGCCAAUGAACUUGUAGGGAUGGUUAAGCCCCAAUCUCCAAUUAAAUGGAAAUGGUUGCUUUUUAUUGAUAUAAUGGAGGGAAUGUUUACUCCAACCUAGUAAAAGUACUUUCAAAAUCCAAGCAAAGUAUGCCUUCAAUUCCCUCUUACUGUUCAAUUGAUUUUAUGUUGUAUAUUGAUUUUGUAGGAAUUGAACCUCAUGUUACAUUGGACCAUCAUGAUCUCCAACAGAUGCUUGAGGAUGAAUAUGGAGGAUGGGUUAAUCGAAAGAUUGUGUAUGGCUUUAAUAAUUUGUUGGAUUGACUUAUGUUUUAAUUCUGGGCUAGAAAUGACCAGAAAACAUGUGGACUACCACUGAGUAUUAUGGUUAUGAAUGCAGGAAAGACUUCAGAGUUUGACAAUAGAAUUUCUUAUUAGAUAACAGUUAAUGAGCCCAAUAUAUUUUCUUUAUCUGGAUAUGACUUAGGAGGUAUAGGUGCGAGGUGUUCUUCUCCAUUUGGAACGAACUGCUCCAAAGGCAACUCCUCAACUGAGCCGUACUUGGUGGUGCAUCAUAUUUUGUUGGCACAUGCAUCAGCUGCAAGAUUGUACCGAAACAAGUAUCAGCAUGGAUUUAUAGGGAUAUCUGUCCUUUUUUGAAAUAUAUCCCUGCAACAAACUCAACAGAGGAUGCGAAUGCAAUUCAAAGAGCCUAUGAGUUCUUCAUUGGUUGAUAGUGAGCGAGGGAUGGAGGAACCUACAUGUGAUUUUCUCCAUUGUUUUUCACCUUGGAUUGACGUACUUAAGCCAUUGGGUCCACAAAUGUUUUGUCUUUGUCAAGACAAAAAGAUUGAUGAGGCACUCCUCUUGUGGCACCAAGUUCUCGAAAAGGGUUUUAUACCAGAUGUAACAUUUUGAUACAUGGACUUUGCUCUGUGGGCAAAGUUGAACAUGCUUUGUUACUCUAUUUUAACAAGGAUCAGCGGAGUUGUGUUCCAAAUCUUGUGACCCACAACACCAUCAUGGAAGGGCUUCACGAAGCCAAAGACAGUAAAAAGGCAUUGGAGAUUUGGCACUGGAUUUUGGUGAAUGGUUUGCGACCAUAUAUCAUCUCCUACAAUGUCACUUUCAAGGGGCUUUGUUCUUGCAAUAAAAUGUCAGAUGUCGUGUAAGGUUCUUGAAUCAUGCUUUGCAUCGUGGUCUUGGAAUUCUUCCGACUUUCAUUACGUGGAACAUACUUGUCUGGGCCGCGUUUAACAAUGAGCUUGAUAGUUCUUUUGUUCUAGUGGCUGGGAAGUAAGUUUUUAUUUGUUUCAAGUUUACACUAUCAUCUUAAACAUGAUUUGAUCCAAUCUGAAAAGAAAAGUUACUGAGGAUAGAUAUCCAAUGAUGAACAAUUUUCAGCUUUUUUGAGGGAUUUCAGUAUUCUGCAAUAGCACGCUGCUUUGACAGUUUGACUGCGGCUAUAAUUCUGGGGUUGCUAAGAUCCUCUUAAAGACCUGGAGUUGCCGCUUUCUGUAUCCAUUUGACAAGAUUACAGGAAAAACAGUUUGACAAAGCUGGCUUUAUAUAUGGCAUUUGAAGCUAAUCAAGACAAAGAACAUUGAAUGGGAGUUUGCAUGUAAGCUAUCUUGCAGAAACACCAGUAGUUGCAUGUGAAGAGGUCACCAAAGUAGAAGAAAUAUAUGAACCCAGUGCUUCCUCCCAUGGUCCAGCUCCACGUUCAAGUUUGAUGUUAAUUAGUAGAGAGCACAGGGCAGGGCCUGCAUGAGGGCAUUGGAGAGGAAUGGGAGUUUUUUAAGUAUUUGGUGAGGUCAUCCUAAUGUUUGCUUUGGUUGGUGGCUUGGAAACUAAUGCUUUUCUCCUUUCACUGGGGAAAUUUAACCUCUAUAAAAGCUACUAAAUACAGUCCGGUUGGUAAAAGGGAAAAAAACAUUACCCCUUUUUGAGACAUUGAUCCAACUGUCAAAUGCUAAUGGUUUGACAACAGAUGAGACUUAUGCGGAGUAGAAGCAAGAAAAAGCAUUCAGAAAAUCCCCUUUGAAUUCAAAGUCAUUGGCGAAGAGGCUCUUGAGAAUGUACUACGACUGGGCCAGCAUUUGCCGCUUUUUACGGUGCCCUUUCACGAUGCUCUCGGCAUGGUUUUGCCGAAGGAUAUUUGUGUGCCUGAUCCUUUCUCUCCUUACCCGGCUUUAGUCAAGAUUGUUCUCCUUUGAUGGAGUGGUGAUCAAAUUGGUAGAAUAAAAAUUUGUGCACAGCAGGAUGGUUAUGCAGUUGUUGCUUCCAAUGGACCCAUACUAAAUCAAGAUCUGGAAACAGAUGCUAGUCAAAUAGGUCAAGCAGCAUGGAUUUAUAGGGAUAUCUGUCCUUUUUCUGAAAUAUAUCCCUGCAACAAACUCAACAGUGGAUGUGAAUGCAAUUCAAAGAUCCUAUGAUUUCUUCGUUGGUUGGUAGUGAGGGAGGGAUGGAGAACCUACAUGUGAUUUUCGCCGUUGUUUUUUCACCUUGAAUUGACGUACUUAAGCCAUUGGGUCCAUAAGUGUGUGUCUUUGUCAAGGCAAAAAGAUUUUGUGGCACCAAGUUCUCGAAAAGGGUUUUAUACCAGAGGUAACUAUAUACAACAUUUUGAUACAUGGGCUUUGCUCUAUGGCCAAAGUUGAAGAUGCUUUGUUACUCUAUUUUAACAUGGAUCAGUGGAGUUGUGUUCCAAAUCUUGUGACCUACAACACCAUCAUGGAAGGGCUUCACAAAGGCAAAGACAGUAAAAAGGCAUUGGAGAUUUGGCACCGGAUUUUGGUGAAUGGUUUGCAACCAGAUAUUAUCUCCUAUAAUGUCACUUUCAAGGGGUUUUGUUCUUGCAAUAAAAUGUCAGAUGUCGUAAGGUUCUUGAAUGAUGCUUUGCAUUGUAGUCGUGGAAUUCUUCCGACUUCCAUUACAUAGAACAUACUUGUCAGGGCUGCGCUUUACAAUGAGCUUGAUAGUUCUUUUGUGUCUGGGGGGAAGUAAGUUUUUCUUUGUUUAAGCUUACACGAUCGUCAUAAACAUGAUUUGAUCCAAUCUGAAAAGAAAAGUGACAGAGGAUAGAUAUCCAAUGAUGAACAAUUUUCCAGCUUUUCUGAGGGAUUUCAGUAUUCUGCAAUAGCACGCUGCAUUGAAAGAAUGACUGCGGCUAGAAUUUGGGAGUUGCUAAGAUCCUCUUAAAGACCUGGAGUUGCCUUUUUCUGUAUCUAUUCAGAAAGAUUACAGGUAACACAGUUGGAGCUUUAAUGGUCAGACAAGCUUCUGAUUCGAGGCCUAGGCAAAUAUGUGGAGCAGUAGUAGAGCCUAAAUGUCACAUAUUCAAUUUCGGAACACAGUAUGCAGGGUGAGGUUUCUAGACUAUGUUCACUGCAGGAAUCUUGUGCGCAUUUCCCUUCUUCAAGACGUUUUUGUGGCUGCGAAGAUACAGUUGUUGUUCCAAUACGUGCAGGUUGGAAGGCUACAUACCCUGGUGAGUCUACGAGAGCCUAUUUAAUCUCUAGUACCUUUUGAAGUCCAAACACUUAGGCCGAUUGUUUCGUGUACUAAGCAUGUCUAUGCUUUUGAUGAUGUAUAUUUGUAUUUAAAUUGAGCUCUGGAAGGACCCUACCAUCUCUGUGUGGCCGCUCAAAGUGUUCAGCACGAAUUAAUUUCACAGGACGAAGUUUCAGUCAAGAACUUGAUGAGGUAUCCUCUUUUGAUGAUCCGAUAUUGCAAUCGUAACUGGUAAGGCAAUGUGGUUGGAUGAGACGAAUUUUCUACCAUUGCAGUUAUGGGCCGUGAUGCAUCAGGGAUCGUCCCCUUCGCCUCUCGCCGAUUCAUUGACCAUCACCGAUCCCACAGCGGAUUGUUGAGGCAGCGAUCAAGAAUCCUAAUUUGAUUCCCAUUGGAUGAUUAAUUCAUUGGACUUGCUCACGGCAUAACCAAACGGGUCAAAGCCUUUAAAAUUGUGGGCCGAGUCCCAAUUCAGUCUUAUUUUUCACAAGCCCGAUAUAAAUACUUGGGCUUUGAUCCUCAGUUAGACUCCCAUGGACAUUAGAAAAUUCAAGCCCAAAUAUUAGGCAUACUUUACAUAUUGAGCCCAGUUUUCGAAUUGUGUAAAUGUGUAAUACAGUGACUUGGGCAGGCCGAAUAAAGUACCUAUCUACUACGUAUCAAGGGGUGGAUACAACUACUCCAAGUCUCCAUCCUUAAUUAUAAAAGGAAUUCGUGCCAUUAUAUAUAAUAGUGUUUUGUAUACAUACGAAAA